rnacentral:rRNA from 1 species
UAAUGUAAUGAUUACAACGUUAAUGCACCAGAUCCCAUUAGAACACCAAAUAUGAGCACAUUUGGGAUACAGUAGUAUUGGGAUGGGUGACCUCUUUAGAAUUCCUAGUGUUUUACAUGCC